GGAGAGAAUUGGCGCGGUUAGAGUACUGGUCUUGGGCACCAGGGUCCGCGGUUCGAGUCCGCGCUCCCCGACA
rnacentral:tRNA from 1 species